GACGAACGCUGGCGGCGUGCUUAACACAUGCAAGUCGAGCGGUAAGGCCCUUCGGGGUACACGAGCGGCGAACGGGUGAGUAACACGUGGGUGACCUGCCUCAUAGCUCUGGGAUAAGCCUGGGAAACUGGGUCUAAUACCGGAUAUGACUCCACGGCGCAUGUUGUGGGGUGGAAAGCCUUGUGUGGCUAGAGAUGGGCCCGCGGCCUAUCAGCUUGUUGGUGGGGGAUGGCCUACCAAGGCGACGACGGGUAGCCGGCCUGAGAGGGCGACCGGCCACACUGGGACUGAGACACGGCCCAGACUCCUACGGGAGGCAGCAGUGGGGAAUCUUGCGCAAUGGGCGAAAGCCUGACGCAGCGACGCCGCGUGAGGGAUGACGGCCU
rnacentral:rRNA from 1 species